CAAUUUCGAAUACGCAUACCGUAGACAGUAGGUGCCUUUAGGGCUUAAUUUCCUACCGAGGUGUUAUGAUACAGUGUUUGCAACUUUCAUUCGUAUGGAUGAUUAAGCUGACAGACCAUCAUGGCCUUCGCAUUGUCUGCGAAGGCCUUUCUCAUGCAUCA
rfam:Paenibacillus curdlanolyticus YK9 ctg109, whole genome shotgun sequence.